GCCUCUCCAAAGCAGGUAAGAUAAGUGUCCUCUCACUGGCCAUGCAAUCUUGGAACGGUCGCAAUAGAUGUAGAACGUCAAGCAAAUCCAGCCACCAGUCUCGAUGAUAUCCUGAUGGAGCACUUUCCAAAAAUCGUACCACUUCUGCAGCUAGGAGAGUCACAUCAUGAGGGACAACGUGCCCAGUUAAUAAGAGCUGUUUAGAAAUGUGGCAGCGCAAAC